GAGUUUGAUCAUGGCUCAGAUUGAACGCUGGCGGCAUGCUUUACACAUGCAAGUCGAACGGCAGCGCGGGCUUCGGCCUGGCGGCGAGUGGCGAACGGGUGAGUAAUACAUCGGAACGUGCCCAGUAGUGGGGGAUAGCUCGGCGAAAGCCGGAUUAAUACCGCAUACGACCUGAGGGUGAAAGCGGGGGAUCUUCGGACCUCGCGCUAUUGGAGCGGCCGAUGGCAGAUUAGCUAGUUGGUGGGGUAAAGGCCUACCAAGGCGACGAUCUGUAGCUGGUCUGAGAGGACGACCAGCCACACUGGGACUGAGACACGGCCCAGACUCCUACGGGAGGCAGCAGUGGGGAAUUUUGGACAAUGGGCGAAAGCCUGAUCCAGCAAUGCCGCGUGUGUGAUGAAGGCCUUCGGGUUGUAAAGCACUUUUGGCGGGAACGAAAAGGACUGUGCCAAUACCACGGUUCGAUGACGGUACCCGCAGAAUAAGCACCGGCUAACUACGUGCCAGCAGCCGCGGUAAUACGUAGGGUGCAAGCGUUAAUCGGAAUUACUGGGCGUAAAGAGUGCGCAGGCGGUUUUGCAAGACCGAUGUGAAAUCCCCGGGCUUAACCUGGGAACUGCAUUGGUGACUGCAAGGCUAGAGUGUGUCAGAGGGAGGUGGAAUUCCGCAUGUAGCAGUGAAAUGCGUAGAUAUGCGGAGGAACACCGAUGGCGAAGGCAGCCUCCUGGGAUAACACUGACGCUCAUGCACGAAAGCGUGGGGAGCAAACAGGAUUAGAUACCCUGGUAGUCCACGCCCUAAACGAUGUCUACUAGUUGUCGGGGAUUAAUUGCGUGGGUACGCAGCUAACGCGUGAAGUAGACCGCCGGGGGAGUACGGUGGCAAGAUAAAACUCAAAGGAAUUGACGGGGGACCCGCACAAGCGGGGGAUGAUGGGGAUUAAUUCGAUGCAACGCGGAAAACCUUACCUACGCUUGACAUGUCGGAACCGUGAAGAGAUGUGGGGGUGCUGGAAAGAGAGCCGGAACACAGGUGCUGCAUGGCUGUCGUCAGCUCGUGUCGUGGGAUGUUGGGUUAAGUCCCGCAACGAGCACAACCCUUAUCAUUAGUUGCUACGCAAGGGCACUCUAAUGAGACUGCCGGUGACAAACCGGAGGAAGGUGGGGAUGACGUCAAGUCCUCAUGGCCCUUAUGUGUAGGACUUCACACGUCAUACAAUGGUCGGUACAGAGGGUUGGGAAGCCGCGAGGUGGAGCCAAUCCCAAAAAACCGAUCGUAGUCCGGAUUGCAGUCUGCGGACUCGACUGCAUGAAGUCGGAAUCGCUAGUAAUCGCGGAUCAGCGUGCCGCGGUGAAUACGUUCCCGGGUCUUUGACACACCGCCCGU
rnacentral:rRNA from 1 species